ensembl:lncRNA
GCAGCUUUUGUUAGGAUCCUCACGUUAGAAAACAGUCCAUUAUAACAACCCAUGCGAUCUCAAUGAAUGGACACUCCUGCAUUUGUAUCUGCAUCAGUACCCCUCGUUGCAUCAAUGUCGAGUAACAUUGCAGAAGAGAGAAUGAGGCCAAUAAAUGUUUCGUGUGUUGUAAUUUAAUGUUGUUGUUUUUUUCCAGAUUGACUGCUAUGCUGUCCAUGGUAUGACAGAUGACCAGCUAAUUAAAUACGUGCCCAAAAUUGGAGAUCGGAUAGCUAUUCGGCAGUACUGCAGAAGAGAAAUGGCUGCACUGGAAGGAACCACCUCAACUAUCUCUAAGGCUACAGAAAGCCUGAUGGCAAAAAUAAACUAAAGACGGGCCUCCAAGAGAAUUCAUGGGGAUGGUCAUUCCGAAAAAUUGUCAGGUCUUCAACAGGCACAGACCUCCUAGUUGCCCAGAAUAUCCAGGUCUGAUUCAUGGAGCCGGAGAGUAUGUUUACUAGAACACCCCAGGCCCACACAUGCGGCUGUGUGUUGGAAGUCCCAAAGAACUAUACAUCAUACCCAGGGUUGGCUGAAGAGUUCAUUAAUGUUCUUGAUGCAAACAUGUGGGUCAUGGACAUUAUUUAGUGAGAUCCGGCGCACACCAGAGGGAAAACGCUCCUUCUCCGACUGCCGCACCGGCAUGACGUGGGCAGCUUCCUGCCGAACAUUCCGCCAGCUGGAAGGACCGCCGCGGCAGGGCGGGGCUGACGCGACUCCGGCCCGCGAUUGGCGGAUCCAACGGGGAAGUCCCACCACUCAGGCGACGACGGAGGAGGAUAAAAGAGCGCGCUUCCGGCCGGGAAGCGGAAGAGAAUAUCGUGGCGUCAAAACGGACUCCGAGUCGUAAGCGCGGACGAGACCGCCGGAUAGUGAGAGUCGCACACACGGAGGACGCCGGCCCGGGAAAACCCCCGCCCCGCCUCGGGAAUCCCGCCUCCGCCACGAGUCGACUCCGCCGGCCGUCACGCCUUCACAAACCCCCGCACUCUUCCAUUUAUCACACGUUCACCUCACCCUAGCCACAAUAAAGCACCGUCUGCAACCACCCUUUGGUCUCCUGUGGGUCUGUACGCCGCCCUUCCCCGGGCUAAUUCCUCACAACUGGUGGAGGAUGCAGGCAUAGUACAGACCCGCCUACUGCAAAGGAAAAAAAAAAAAAAAAAAAAAAAAAACCCCAUCAAAAGAAAAACACAAAAAAAAAAAAAAAAAAAAAAAAAAAAAAAAAAUGGACCCCACCCUGCAACACUUGCUGGAGACCAGCCUCCAGCAGCACGCCGUGACGCAGCAGCUCGCCGAAAGCCUUCAGGUCGCCACACAGACACUGAUCGCCAUGAGGACUGAGACCCCCGCCGCCUCCACGCCUCUCCCCGACGCAACCAGCGAGAUCCGCCGCCUACUACCCCCCCUUGGCCCCGAAGAGGACCUUGAGGCGUACUUCGAGACCUUCGAGAGUAUCGCCUGCCGGGAGGGGUGGGACCGUGACGACUGGCCCCGUGCCCUUGGUCCCCUGCUCACGGGAGAGGCCCGAACAGCCUACUAUGCCCUC